UGUUCAUAAAUGUUUAACCAGCUUUUUGAUUAUUUCCUCAGGACAGAUUCCUGGAAGAGAAUGACUUGGUCAGAAUUCUUGGCAUUAUUUCAAAUCUGUGGUGGAAAAGAAGUGUUCAGAUAUGUGUCACAGAUUUAAAUAACAUAAAAACUCAGGAAAGCUGGGGAUCUGUGUGGGCUGCUGGAAGUAUGAGUCGGCCUUUGACACAAGGCUGAAGCCUAAUGAGAUGAUAUUUCUGUAAGGCUCUGGGCAUUUCUCUUCCCUAAGUCAGUUGACUUGGGCAGGGGGUUAGUGAGAGAAGGCUUCACGGAGCAGAGUCUUACAGGAGGAAAAGGAGUUUCGAAGGCCGACAGAGGACGUGAGGAGAGGAGGAGGAUCCACACUCAGCAUGGAGCCCAGUGUGGGGCUUGAACUCAUGACCCUGAGAUCAAGACCUGAGCCAAGACCAAGAGUCCAACGCUUAACCAACUGAGCCACCCCGGGGCUCCUAUUUCUUCUUACCCAGAGAACAUUCACCACUGAAGGGACACCCUUUAUGGUGGCAAUCAAGCAAGGGUCUGGAGAACCUCCAAAGAAACCCAUUUCUGGACUGUUAAUGAUGGGAGGUCCUAAACUGACAGGUGAAGUCUAACCCUGGCAUCAUUACUGUUAUAAGCCAUGGACUGUCCAAACAAUCUAGAAAGCAUCUGAAAGUUUCUAUAGUAACUUGUAUUUAUUUUUUUAAAAGUGUUGAAAAGUUCCCAGUAGCAUGGCUGGUUGCCUGGGCUACAAUGUUGUGUUGACAGCUCCGGUCCUUUUCCUGGCGGCUGAAGACCUAGGACAGUGACCAAUGAGAGGGCAGCAUUUUUUCCUGAACUUUUCAUUAGGCUGGUGAUUCAUUUUGAGACCCACAUUUUAUGAAGGCUGUGAAUUCAAUGCAAUGUAGCUGUUGAGGUGUCUACAUUCAAAUUGGAUUCCAUUAAGUUUAUGACGUGAUUAAAUGUCUGAAUCAUAAGGAGUCGGGGUUGAAUUUAUGUGUCUUCUGAAAGCACUUUCGAAGACUGGCAGCUUCGAUGAGUGUAAUAUGAUGCAUGGGAUUGAGAGAACAAACCUAAAGAGACACCAACUCAAAAAUAACAAGGAUCUGAGAAUUGAGGUGGGUGUCACUCUUGGACAUACAGAGUGGAACUGUUAUUCAGCGUGCAUAUUUUUUUUUUCCUUCAGAAUAUUUAAUUUGGAGCAUUAGAAGGGACUUGAAAGCAUUAAUUGGGGUGCUUGUUAAAAAUGCCAAUUUCUAGGUCCUGCCUUCUGAUUUGGAAGGGGUGGAGUUGGGUACAGGAAUUUGAGAACUCACUAGGGAAAACACUGAUUUAAUCAUCUUUCAUUUGGUCAACUGAUGUGCCUCUUCCAUGACCUAGCUCACAGUUAGUGGUAAGAGCACAAGACUCAGAACAAGAUCUCUUCAAGGUAUCCUCAGAGAUCUUUCAUCACCCACUUAGUUCUUGCUCAUCCACAUUGAUAUUUAUGACGUGGAAAUGAUCAGGUGUGACAGCUAUGUGUGCCGUGUUCAAAAAGUAGAGAACAACAUGAGAUGGCAGAGAGAGUGAGUGAACGGCAUACUGCAUGUUACCAAAAAGGAGUUCUAAUAUCUCAACAAAAUUUUUGAAGUACAUCUUAACACGUCAGGGUUAAAUGGGAGUUGCACAGUGCUAUUUGAGUCACUUUUAGACAAUUUCUGGCAUCAUAGCACACAAAAUACUUUCAUUUCUGCAUUUCCCUUUAUUGAUUUCUUUGACUUUAAAUACAUUAAAUAUAUAGCCCUUGGAAAUUCUAGAAUUGAUGAAGUUACACACUUUUUCAUUAUUCUGACGAUUUGUAUUUAUUCUUUAAUUCUUUCAUUUGUGAAUCUGUGUUCAGAUCCUUUGAAAUUUUUCUAUUGAAUUGUUAGCAUUCUUUGUAUUGAUUUUAAAGAGCUGUUUAUAUAUUAAAGUUAUUAAUUCCAUAUCUGUCAUACAUCUUGCUGAAAGCGUUUUUCUCUUUUAUUUUUUUUCUUUUUCUUUUUCUUUUAACUUAUGGUGAAUUUUCUUUCACAUGGAGCACUUCAAAAUUUUUCUGUAGUUAAAAUUAUCCUUUUUGCCUUUCUUUGUGAUGUUGUUUCAUUGCUUUUAUUUGUUAAAGCUUUUCCCAUCACAAGAUUAGGAAAAGAAUCAUUUACUCUUUCUUCUAGCUGUUCUGUAGUUUUAACAUUUGCAUUUGCAUUGAAUGCUUUAACCUAUUGAUAUGCUUGGUAAAAUGUAACAAAUAGAACCUGGGUAUGUAACAAAUAAACAUUUUUUUUCUCAGUU